GUGAAGUCGCAGGUGACUCUGAAGGCUUGAUGUCACCGAGAAACUCUUUCCACACUGAGAGCAGGUGAAAGGCUUUUAUCCAGUGUGAAUUCUCAUAUGAUGCUCAAGAGUUACUUUAUGUGCAAAAAUCUUUCCACAUUGAAGGCAGGUGAAAGGCUUCUCUCCAGAGUGAAGUCUUAAGUGAGUUUUAAGGUUUCCUUUUCGUGUGAAACUCUUUCCACAAUGAGAGCAGGUGAAAGUCUUCUCUCCAGAGUGAAUUCUCAUGUGACGCUGAAGAUCUCCUUUAUGUGCAAAAAUCUUUCCACAUUGAAGGCAGGUGAAAGGCUUCUC